UGGGAUGCUUGGGGUGUUUUUGGGGGAGGUCUUAGUUUUAAUCUUUAUUGCACCUUUUGCCAAGCGCUCAGAGGUGUAAAAGGUUUAAAACUUUUCUGUUUGGCUGGAGGAGGGGGUUUUUGUUUGUGUGUAUAGAAGUUACAGAAUCACAGAAUCGGGAUGGAAAAGACUGAGGCCAUGGAGUCCAACCUGUGACCUAACACCACCUUGUCAACUAGACCAUGGUGCUAAGUGCCAUGUCCAGUCUUUCCUUAAACACCUCCAAGGAUGAUGACUCCACCACUUCCCUGGGUAGUUCAUUCCAGUGUAUAAUCACUCUGUGAAGAAAUUCCUCCUGACGUCCAAUCUGAACCUCUCCUGGCACAGCUAAAGACUGUGUCCUCUCAUCCUGUCACUAGUUGCCUGGGAGAAGAGGCCAAUCCCCAACCUCCUUUCAGGUCUGUCGCUACGACCUUGUGUCACUCCAAUACUGCCCAGCACUGCGAGAACUGGGAUAAAUCAACACAGAUUAUGGACUUGAAAGUACCAUGAGGAAUGCUGUAACAGCACCAUGGCAGCAUGGCCAAAAAGCGCAGGAAGCUGGAUUUGUGUCAGGACAGAUCAGCCCAGACAAGCCUCAUUUCUUACUUUUUAAAUCCCCCUUUAGGUACAGGGAGGCUGCUCUAAGGUGAACCCAGAGACAUCUCUUCUCCAGGCGGAACAACCUCAAAUCUCUCAAGCACCAUAUAUCUUCAGUGAUGAAGUGCCUGUUGUGGAAGACAAAGAAUAACAUCCAGAAGAGGAGCAAACCACCCACAGCAUCCAUUGCCUCCAGCUUGGAUUGAGAGGCUUGAAUUGAAACUUGGAAAUCAGAUUCCAGCACUGGGGCACUUCUGAUGGCUUGCUUGGGGCCAAGGUUUCAUCUGUGGGAUCAGAGCAGGAACAUUGUGAAAAUAAAUAAUAAAAAAUAGUGACCAAACCCAUAAAGACGAGUUUA